rnacentral:lncRNA from 1 species
UCACAGUAGCAUGGGUUCGAAUCCCGGCGAGGGAAGAACAAAAAAUUUGCGAAAGCAAAUUUACAGAUCUAACAUUGUUGGGUUGAUGUUUAGACGAGUUGUAUAUACAUAAUGUACACAGCCAUGUGUCACCAUCAUUGAUGGCGAUCCGAUGGAUAAAUCUGUUGUAGAGUUGUCACUGACUCAGACGUACUUAUAAAU